rnacentral:rRNA from 1 species
AUGGGGCAAGAGGCACGAGAAGAAAGGAGUAGCGCCACAGGGAUGACGUUGUCGGCAGCGCCUUUGGACAGGUUCGUUCUAGAGAAGUUAUGGUGGUCAGCCGUCGCGCUGGGGAAUCGGGGAGGAUGUCGUUCGGAACACAUGGUGGGUUUAGAGGAGUGUGUCGAGGCAGUGCUCGAGGAUGGCCACGAGAAGUUGGAUUGCACACUUCUCAACGUGAUUGCGUCGUUGGUCCAGUGUCAAAUCAAAGGAACUUCUAUCACAUAUGUUCAUGCGUGGUAUGCCAAUUUCUCCUUGAUGGCAAAUAAUCCAGACAAAAUAUUUGGAAGUAAUGGCGGCCUUGCCGGAGUAAGGGGCAAAAUUGUGGGAGUGGACGCACAUCAUGUAGGCUAG